rnacentral:rRNA from 1 species
CCUACGGGAGGCAGCAGUGGGGAAUAUUGGACAAUGGGGGGAACCCUGAUCCAGCCAUGCCGCGUGUGUGAAGAAGGCCCUCGGGUUGUAAAGCACUUUCAGUGAGGAAGAACGCCUGGUGGUUAAUACCCAUCAGGAAAGACAUCACUCACAGAAGAAGCACCGGCUAACUCCGUGCCAGCAGCCGCGGUAAUACGGAGGGUGCGAGCGUUAAUCGGAAUUACUGGGCGUAAAGCGCGCGUAGGUGGCUUGAUAAGCCGGUUGUGAAAGCCCCGGGCUCAACCUGGGAACGGCAUCCGGAACUGUCAAGCUAGAGUGCAGGAGAGGAAGGUAGAAUUCCCGGUGUAGCGGUGAAGUGCGUAGAGCUCGGGAGGAAUACCAGUGGCGAAGGCGGCCUUCUGGACUGACACUGACACUGAGGUGCGAAAGCGUGGGUAGCAAACAGGAUUAGAUACCCCAGUAGUC